rnacentral:rRNA from 1 species
UACAGAGGGUGCAAGCGUUGUUCGGAAUUAUUGGGCGUAAAGCGCGUGUAGGCGGCUUUGCAAGUCGGGUGUGAAAGCCCUCGGCUCAACCGAGGAAGUGCGCCCGAAACUGCAGAGCUUGAGUACCGGAGAGGGUGGCGGAAUUCCCCAAGUAGAGGUGAAAUUCGUAGAUAUGGGGAGGAACACCGGUGGCGAAGGGCGGCCACCCGUGGACG